rnacentral:rRNA from 1 species
GAUGAACGCUGGCGGCGUGCUUAACACAUGCAAGUCGAACGAGAAGUGGAGACGGAAACCUUCGGGCGGAAGACUUUAUUUCGAUUGGCGGACGGGUGAGUAACUCGUGGGUAACCUGCCUCAUACAGGGGGAUAACAGUUGGAAACGACUGUUAAUACCGCAUAAGACCACAGCACCGCAUGGUGCGGGGGUAAAAACUCCGGUGGUAUGAGAUGGACCCGCGUUCGAUUAGCCAGUUGGCGGGGUAACGGCCCACCAAAGCGACGAUCGAUAGCCGAUCUGAGAGGAUGACCGGCGACAUUGGGACUGAGACACGGCCCAAACUCCUACGGGAGGCAGCAGUGGGGAAUAUUGCACAAUGGGGGAAACCCUGAUGCAGCGACGCCGCGUGAGUGAAGAAGUAUUGCGGUAUGUAAAGCUCUAUCAGCAGGGAAGAAAAUGACGGUACCUGAGUAAGAAGCCCCGGCUAACUACGUG